AUUGAACGCUGGCGGCAUGCCUUACACAUGCAAGUCGAACGGUAACAGGUCUUCGGAUGCUGACGAGUGGCGAACGGGUGAGUAAUACAUCGGAACGUGCCUAGUAGUGGGGGAUAACUACUCGAAAGAGUGGCUAAUACCGCAUGAGAUCUACGGAUGAAAGCAGGGGAUCGCGAGACCUUGUGCUACUAGAGCGGCCGAUGGCAGAUUAGGUAGUUGGUGGGAUAAAAGCUUACCAAGCCGACGAUCUGUAGCUGGUCUGAGAGGACGAUCAGCCACACUGGGACUGAGACACGGUCCCGACUCCUACGGGAGGCAGCAGUGGGGAAUUUUGGACAAUGGGCGCAAGCCUGAUCCAGCAAUGCCGCGUGCAGGAUGAAGGCCUUCGGGUUGUAAACUGCUUUUGUACGGAACGAAAAGCCCCGGGUUAAUACCCUGGGGUCAUGACGGUACCGUAAGAAUAAGCACCGGCUAACUACGUGCCAGCCGCCGCGGUAA
rnacentral:rRNA from 1 species